CUUGCUGCUUCUCUCUCUCUCUCACUGAACCCCUCAUCAAAGCUGCAAUUUUGAAGUUCCUUUCCGGGUCGAGCAAGAAGCGGAGGAACGGCUUCAAUGGCUUCAAUGUCGUUGUGUUCACUGUCGUCACCCCACAAUCUCCUCCACCACCGCCCCACGAAGCUCUCUGUCCAAAUCCUCAGACCCAACACCCUUUCCCAGCUCAACCGUAAAUUCCCGACAUUUCCAUCCUUAUCCGCUCCUCAUAGGACAAGACUCUCGGCUGUGGCCGAGGAGGCGACAUCGGCUCCUGCUGCCGCUCCUGGCCCAUCCUCGGAGGCUGCGAGGAGGCUCUAUGUCGGAAACAUCCCGAGGAACGUCGGCAACGCCGAGCUCACCCGUAUAGUCGAGGAGCACGGCUUGGUCGAGAAAGUCGAGGUGAUGUAUGAUAAGUACACUGGAAGGAGUCGCCGUUUUGCGUUUGUGACAAUGAAAACCGUCGAAGAUGCUAAUGCGGUGAUCGAGAAACUCAAUGGCACUGAAAUUGGAGGGCGCGAGGUCAAAGUAAACAUCACUGAGAAACCUUUGCCCUCAGUAGACUUUUCCUUCCUCCAAGCCGAGGAAUCCCAGUUCGUUGACAGCCCCCACAAAGUAUAUGUAGGUAACCUUGCAAAGACCGUAACAACAGAAUCCCUGAAGCAGUUUUUCUCCCAGAAAGGAAACGUGCUCAGUGCAAAGGUCUCGAGGGUCCCUGGAACCUCGAAAUCCAGCGGGUUCGGCUUCGUAUCCUUCUCAUCACAAGAGGAUGUGGAGGCUGCAAUUUCAUCAUUUAACAAUGCUUUGUUGGAAGGGCAGAAGAUUCGAGUGAACAAAGCUUAGGGGUAUAUGCACACCGCAGGCUUCCCUUUCGGGAGAUUGUACUUCAAUUCAAUAGUAAGUGUAGACUGUAGAAAAGAUGGCAGAUACUAGAAGAAGAAUAAAGGUCUCGAGGAAAUGCCAACUUUCAAUAUGGAUCUCAAUAUGGGUAUCUUCUAUACAAAAACCGAAGAGGAGAGAAGAAAAUACAUGUAUCUGCUAAUCCUGUUAAUAUAAUUUUACAUCGAUAUAAUUUGUACUUAUCUUGAUAGUUAUUAAAUAAAGAAUGAAAAAAUCUGAGGUCGUA